GACCUUUUUCACAGCAAAUAAUCGCGUACAACUAAUUGGCAUGUCAUGUAUGUUGAUGUUAUAAACCCAACAGGAAGCGAGGGGGGGGGGGGGGGGGGGGAAGAUACUUCAAGAGAGAGUGCUUACAUAAUAGGACGGCAUAUUUUGUAUUAGUUACGGUAUAUUUCUCGUCUCUUUUUUCUUUUUUUGUGCUGUGCUGUAUAUUUUGGGGGGAUACAAACCUACAAUCCAGCAGCUCAGACUAUUGAAAACAAGUUGAAUGUGGUUGUUCAAAUAAAAUAUCUCAAUGUU
rnacentral:misc_RNA from 1 species